rnacentral:rRNA from 1 species
GGGCCCGCACAAGCGGUGGAGCAUGUGGUUUAAUUCGAAGCAACGCGAAGAACCUUACCAGGUCUUGACAUCCAGUGACAACUCUAGAGAUAGAGCUUUCCCUUCGGGGACACUGAGACAGGUGGUGCAUGGUUGUCGUCAGCUCGUGUCGUGAGAUGUUGGGUUAAGUCCCGCAACGAGCGCAACCCUUAUUACUAGUUGCCAGCAUUAAGUUGGGCACUCUAGUGAGACUGCCGGUGACAAACCGGAGGAAGGUGGGGAUGACGUCAAAUCAUCAUGCCCCUUAUGACCUGGGCUACACACGUGCUACAAUGGGCGGUACAACGAGUUGCGAACUCGCGAGAGCAAGCUAAUCUCUAAAAACCGUUCUACAGUUCGGAUUGUAGGCUGCAACUCGCCUACAUGAAGCUGGAAUCGCUAGUAAUCGUGGAUCAGCAUGCCACGGUGAAUACG